CCCGUUUUAUUAACACUCGAAAGUCGGAGCCCCAAUUACGGAGUACCCGCCAGAAAGCGCCGAAUUUGAAAUAAACCCUAGCCAUCUGAAACCCCUCAACAAUGGCGUUCACACUUACUCUCAUUAACUCUCCGGCCAAUUCAAUCUCACCGGAAACCAAUUCCGCAAUCAGAAAAUGUCCUUUGUUCAUCCGGAACUUACACUUCACACUUUACAGAAACCGUCGCCGUUCCAUUUCAUGCUCGGCGCAGCAGAAGCCGUUUAAGCCGAUGACGGAGGAAAAUAUUCUCGAGGCAGUAGCUGAUUUCGAUGGAGAUGAGAAAUCUGUACCUUGUUUAAGAACUUAUGAGAACGAUAUAGCUCGACUUACAUUGGUUGGUGCUGUUGACUUCCAGCAGGCACUCACUGCUGCUGCGGCGGACGGUGGUGAAGCUGCUGGAGAACAUAUUGCCGCUGGUAUGGAUGCUAUGGUUGUUGAAACAUUGUUUCCGGGACCUUCUGAUGAGCAUAGUACUAUUUCUACUAGACUGUUCUUACCAGCAAGAAAAGUUAUGGAGAAAGCUCAUAAGCUUAGAAGUACCAUAACUAAAGAGAUGCUUUCCGGCACGACGUCUACAAAUAUACUUGCUAUGACAUUUAGACAAGUAACACUGCAACAUCUUUGGAACUUUGAUCUAAUACUUUUUAUACCAGGAACAGAAAGGAAUAUGGAUGAUCUUGAAACACCAAGAGAGCAGGUACCUCCAUCUUUUGCUAUCAAGUCAUCAGAUGAACGAGUCAUUUCUGUUAUUGCAGAAGUUAUUUGUCUUUCUGCUCUCGAAAGCACAAAAAAACAUUUCUUUAAUGGAACUCCUGGUGGAGCCCCAAAGAAGUUUUUCCCUUGGUUUGACACACAUAAAAGCAUUGUCUCAAAAGAUUCCUCUGUUACUCUAUACAACUUAAUGGAAUAUGAGAUAGUUGCAAAUGCCAAUGUUUUGCUCCAGAAAUUUUCUUCCGAAAGGGCGAAUUACAGACCAAGGGAGGGAAGAUGGAUGGACAAUUGGUUAACUUCAACUACAUACUCCAAACUGGAACAAAUUGGAGGCCCUGAAUUUAUUGCUUGGCUGAGUGAGAGAGUACCUGCUUACAAAUUGCAGAUUGAUGCUGAGAAACUUGACAAUGUGAAGUUUGAAGGGUGGAAGGAAACAGCAACAAACACAUGGGAGGUUUUUCUGACUCACUCCCAAAUGGUUGGCCUGAGUGACGUUCUAGAUAUGUAUUAUGAAGAUGUCUAUACACUUCCCUACAAACAAUUAUCAUUGGGUGUUGUUGCAAAAUCUUUCAAUUCACCAUCUAGCAAGAGAAGCAUUUCUAUGUCAAAGGCAAUCUCUAUGGUCCUUGCAAGUGGAAUUUUUCUUGUUGCUAUAAGAAUUCUUGGUCAACGUUAUCUUCCUUAUCUCCCGAUUAGAAAGCACUAUCACCCGGGUGUUAAUCCAGUCAAUUCAUCUGACAUGAUCUCCAUUCAGCCUCAGUCCAUGGAAUCUUGCAAGUUGGAAGAUUACUGUGUCUCCAUUGUUAGGAGAAUCAAGGAAUUUUAUUGUUGGCCUGGAGAUGUAGUCAUGGGUUCUGGCAGCUCUGCUUGGAUCGGGGAGCUUCCAAUAUACCUGAAGAAUGAGAUGGAUUCCGAAGUUUUAGAUCUCAAUUCCAGCUCCACGCCAUCAGAAGGAAUUGAAGAUGAGAUGAAAGCAGCUGGAGAAGAUAUUGCCACUUAUCAGAUUGUUUUAUCUGGGGAUGGUAAAAUUGCUGGAUUCCAGCCUACAAGUCGUGUUGCUGAAAGUCAAUGGGAAGCAAACCCUUUAGUGAAAGAGCUCUAUGGAACGGAAAAGCUUUCUCCUGACUUGAUAGAACAAGGUCUCAAGAGAAGCCACGCCAGUGAUGCUGUUGUACUGGAAUUAUUGAUGUCAACAAAUCCCCAAAGUUCAUUUGCUUUGGUUAGACCAGUUACUGAAAAUAGUAGAUGAACAUUUUUGCUCCGCCACAUCCAAUAUUUGUACAACUAGGUACAGUGCUGGAUUAGAUUUUUCCAGUUGGCAUCGCUGCAGCGUAGUGUGGUUCAAGAACAACCUUCGUUUUCCCGCGUUGAUGCAAAAGUGAGCUAGUCACAAUGUGCAUAGCCAAAUUUCGUACAGACAAGACAUAAAAGAAGACUUCCCACAAAGUUUACUUUUGUCUAGUUAUUGUAUCCACUAACAAGGAAGCAGAAAACCAUUGGGUGGAAGACACCUGAUCCAUCCCAAACCUAUGUUUGCUCGGACUCUUAAAAAAUCUUGACAGGUGCGUAUCAGAUCCUCCAAUGUUUACUUGAGAUUUAUGCUCACGAGCAGGAUCCUAGCUUAGGCGUCCCUUUGCACGUCUCUGUUACUCUUAGGAAGCAUCUGCCCCCCUGAAUCCUGAUAAACUACCCAAGAAACUCCCAAGGAUUGUUGUGCACAAAUGUUUGAAGUUACAUAUUAAGUGGACUUCUUAACACAA